ACAGGCUAUGGGAAACUAGGUGUGGGCUGGUAACUGGUACCAAGCAUAAAGAAAUGAAAGCUCUGCUCCACCCCCCAACUGCUUGGUUUUGGGAGGAUCCAAAGCAAGUGUAUUGUGAAGGCCAGAGCUUCCUUUUCUCUUGUACCAAGUGGACAGACUGAAGACUGUCAGUAUCUAGAAUAAGCAGUGGGUAAAAGGAGCAACACAGGCUGUAUUUCCUGUCUCUGUCGUGUCUCUCUCUGAGACCUGCGGGGAGUCGAGGUGACACAGGAAAACAUGUUGAUCACAGCUCAGUAAGCAGCACGGAGGUCAUCAAGAGCUUUUAUAAAUGAGACAGACUGACCGUUACCCUGGCAACAAGCUACUAUGAUGAGCAGCCAUGAGACCCCCAGACGAUGUGAACGUGCACAAGGCCAGGAUGAUGGUGUUGAAAGCAGAGCUAAAGACAACAAACAGGACCCUGCAUAGGCUCCUGGGGAGUCUAGGUGCUGCAGGAUGUGGUGAAGGGCCAUAUUCAUUGCAUCAUCCACAGAUCUGUUGGUUCUUUAGGCAAACUGCAGGGGAUCCAGAAAUGGUUCUGUGAUGGAUUUAAGUUAUUAAGAGCCAUUGUGAAAGAUCCAAAGAGCCACUUGCACCCCUGGAGCCACAGGUUGCGGACCCCUGUUCUACAUCUAUGAAAUGAGGACUGAUAAAUCCAUGUUACACUUGUAAGAUAAUAAUUUGUAAAGUAUUUUGAAAACCAAGUUAUUUUCCUUCCACUGUAUUAUUAGCACUACUUCAUGUUGGCCUAUCACAUAAAAUACAUUGUUCAAGAUAAACAAUGUAUUUGUUGAAAAGGUUCAAGGUGGAUGAAUACAUUUACAAAGUACUAGACUGACAGUUCAUAUAAGCCCAGAGUAAAGCUGCUUUGCAAACAUCUUCAAAGAAAGCUAGCAUCACAGCAGUGGCCAAAAAUCUCUGUUUGGCUUUUUGACUGCAGUCUUGUUUUAGCUCUGGCUUCUUUUUCAGUUUUCUACUGGUUUAGUUUUCUAUUGGCUAUAUGUGCGUUUCUCGAUCAGCUGAGGCAUUGUAGCCAUUAACCUUUUCUAUGUUGGGUUGUGUUUGACUCCUGGAUCAGGUUGUGCAAAAUUGCAUAAUCAGUUCAGAGUUUCCAGUGUUGGACUAAAGUGUUCUGUUGGGUGGCUACAAGAAGUGCUGUCCUCUCUAAUCUGAUAUGAUCAGUGAGAAAGGUUGACAUACAAUGCUCUUUCCUUCUUAUUUAAUAAUGUAUUUUCUGUCACAACUGUUAAACGGCAAUAUUUUUCAGCCUCUACAUAAGGGAAUGCAGCCCCCACAGCACCCAAAUACUGCUCUGAUGGUGAAUAGUGCAUCGUACCACACUGGCCCUGUCUAUACUAUGGCAUAGCAGAAUACAUUUAUUAUAAUCAGAACAUUUAGGACAACUCAGGUUUGCUUUCCUGUUGCUAUGCCCAAAGCGAAUUUGCUGGAGUCCAAUGUCAGCUGCUUUUUGUCUACAGUGUGGUCUAUAGGGGUGGACAUGACUUCCAGCAUGAGCCCAAUUCAAGCUGCUUUAAAGGAUUGUGUGUGUGUGUGUGUGUGUGUGUUUGUGUGUGUGUGUGUGUGUGUGUGUGUGUGCACACGCACAUUAUAAGGCUGGGUCAUGUCAGAGUAAUAGGAUUGCUCGGCCUUACUCCUUCUCUGGACACUCUGGCAAAGAUAGGCCUCCUAAAUCAUCCUCACAACUCUGAACAAGAUGGAGAACCUGGCGUCGCCUCUGCCUGCCCUCCCUCAUCGCUGCAGGCACAACCACUCGUUCCAAGGGGUACAGAUAUUGCUCACGGCCACGAUUUUCCCUCAACCUCCAAGAGGAAUGAAAUUAUAUCUAGUCAGCAUUCUGUAAAUGUCCACAGAGAGACUGUACUCCAGUUCAUCACAGCUGUGCCACACUUUCUGUUUAAAGACUUGUCUGCUGAUCUGCAUGUUUUCUUUAUACUUCUUUAACCUUAUAGUUUGUCUGCAUGCCUUCUAUAUUUAUGUACGUAGGCAAAUACCUUGCUAUCAUAUUAAAAAAAAACUGAUUAUUGUCUGCAACAGAUGAAUGCAAGUAAGAAGUGGAAAUAUACACCUUACUUUUCAGAUCCCUUUAACCUUUUCUAAGUUUUAUUUGGAUUUCAUGUCACAGACCAACACAAAUUAACAAAUAAAUGCAUAGUGUAAGAAUAAUGAUACAUGGUGUUCUAUG